AAAGAGGUAGCUCAACCCGGUUCAGAGUAUAAACUUGAAAAGUUUACCGUUGAAGGUUCAAAUCCUUUCCUCAUCA
rnacentral:tRNA from 1 species